rnacentral:tRNA from 1 species
GAGGGUGUAGCUCAAGUGGUAGAGCACAUGCUUAGCAUGCAUGAUGUCCUGGGUUCCGUCCCCAGUACCCUCC